rnacentral:rRNA from 1 species
UUGGGCUUAAAGCGUUCGUAGCUGGGUUGUNAAGUNUCUUGGGAAAUCUGACGGCUCAACCGUUAGGCGUCUAAGAGAAACUGGCGAUCUUGGGACCGGGAGAGGUGAGAGGUACUCCGGGGGUAGGAGUGAAAUCCUGUAAUCCUCGGGGGACCACCUGUGGCGAAGGCGUCUCACCAGAACGGCUCCGACAGUGAGGGACGAAAGCUGGGGGAGCAAACCGGAUUAGAUACCCGGGUAGUCCCAGCCGUAAACGAUGCGCGUUAGGUGUAUCGGUGACCACGAGUCACCGAGGUGCCGAAGGGAAACUGUGAAACGUGCCGCCUGGGAAGUACGGUCGCAAGGCUGAAACUUAAAGGAAUUGGCGGGGGAGCACCACAACGGGUGGAGCCUGCGGUUUAAUUGGACUCAACGCCGGACAGCUCACCGGAUAGGACAGCGGAAUGAUUGCCGGGCUGAAGACUCUGCAUGACUAGCUGAGAGGAGGUGCAUGGCCGUCGUCAGUUCGUACUGUGAAGCAUCCUGUUAAGUCAGGCAACGAGCGAGACCCACGCCAACAGUUGCCAGCAUAUCCUCCGGGAUGAUGGGGACACUGUUGGGACCGCCUCUGCUAAAGAGGAGGAAGGAAUGGGCAACGGUAGGUCAGCAUGCCCCGAAUUAUCCGGGCUACACGCGGGCUACAAUGGGCAGGACAAUGGGUAUCGACACCGAAAGGUGAAGGCAAUCUCCUAAACCUGUCCGUAGUUCGGAUUGUGGGCUGCAACUCGCCCACAUGAAGCUGGAAUCCGUAGUAAUCGCGUUUCAAAAUAGCGCGGUGAAUAUGUCCCUGCUCCUUGCACACACCGCCCGUCAAACCACCCGAGUGGGGUUUGGAUGAGGCUACGGUCGUUGCCGUAGUCGAAUCUAGGUUCCGCAAGGGGGGUUAAGUCGUAACAAGGUAACCGUA